AGGACGAACGCUGGCGGCGUGCUUAACACAUGCAAGUCACGGGGGUCCCGCAAGGGAUAACCGGCGAACGGGUGCGUAACACGUGAACAACCUGCCCUCGUGUGGGGGAUAGCCGGGCUAACGCCCGGGUAAUACCGCAUACGUUCUCUUUGGGGAGUCCCGAGGAGAGGAAAGCUCCGGCGCACGGGGAGGGUUCGCGGCCUAUCAGCUAGUUGGCGGGUAAUGGCCCACAAGGCGACGACGGGUAGCU
rnacentral:rRNA from 1 species